AAAGAGGCUUUACUUAAAGCCAUCAAAAGAAUAUAUACUAAAGAGU
rfam:Glycine max cultivar Williams 82 chromosome 3, whole genome shotgun sequence.